rnacentral:rRNA from 1 species
GGUCGCCGGCCGCCGCGUACACGCAUUCCACCACCCUUGACUUUGAGCACCGUUAUGUUUCCUCGGCAGGGACGCCUGCCAGCGGGGACCCAUCGAACACUUGCAGUAGCAGUAUUUGUCUGAGAAUAAACACAAAAAUCAAAACUUUCAACAAUGGAUCUCUUGGUUCUGGCAUCGAUGAAGAACGCAGCGAAAUGCGAUAAGUAGUGUGAAUUGCAGAAUUCAGUGAAUCAUCGAAUCUUUGAACGCACAUUGCGCCCCUUGGUAUUCCGGGGGGCAUGCCUGUUCGAGCGUCAUUUAACCCCUCAAGCCCAGCUUGGUGUUGGGUGCUUGUCCCGCCCCCGCGCGGCGACUCACCUCAAAGUCAUUGGCAGCCCGCAUCCGCCGGCCACGAGCGCAGCACAGUCGCGAUCGAGGCCAGGCAGGUCGGCUCUCCAGAAGCAACCCCAAUAUUGACCUCGGAUCAGGUAGGGAUACCCGCUGAACUUAAGCAUAUCAAUAAGCGGAGG